rnacentral:rRNA from 1 species
UACGAAGGGGGCUAGCGUUGCUCGGAAUUACUGGGCGUAAAGGGCGCGUAGGCGGACAGUUUAGUCAGAGGUGAAAGCCCAGGGCUCAACCUUGGAAUUGCCUUUGAUACUGGCUGUCUUGAGUUCGGGAGAGGUGAGUGGAAUGCCGAGUGUAGGUGAAAUUCGUAGAUAUUCGGCGGAACACCAGUGGCGAAGGCGACUCACUGGCCCGAUACUGACGCUGAGGCGCGAAAGCGUGGGGAGCAAACAGG